rnacentral:rRNA from 1 species
GGGAGGAAUAUUGGUCAAUGGGCGAAAGCCUGAACCAGCCAAGUCGCGUGAAGGACGAAGGUAUUAUGUAUUGUAAACUUCUUUAGCAGUGGAGAAAUAAGGGAGUCGUGACUCCCGAUGCUAGUACACUGAGAAUAGGGAUCGGCUAACUCCGUGCCAGCAGCCGCGGUAAUACGGAGGAUCCGAGCGUUAUCCGGAUUUAUUGGGUUUAAAGGGUGCGCAGGCGGCCUUGCAAGUCAGCGGUCAAAUCGUGGAGCUCAACUCCAUUCCGCCGUUGAUACUGCCGGGCUUGAUUGCGGUUGAGGUUGGCGGAAUUCGUCGUGUAGCGGUGAAAUGCAUAGAUAUGACGAAGAACCCCGAUUGCGUAGGCAGCUGACCAAUCCGUAAAUGACGCUCAUGCACGAAAGUGCGGGGAUCGAACAGGAUUAGAUACCCUGGUAGU